rnacentral:lncRNA from 12 species
UGGACAGCCAUCUGCAUGGGCAGAAUAUCUGCUGUCUGCCCUGGUAUAGGUGUGAACCUCGAUCAGUGCAGGGAAGUUAAUCUGGGUAUCUUUGCUCUGGAACAGGCCCUGGUCGAGGCUGUCAAUGCCAUCAUCAUUACAGAAUACAUGCAGGCCCUCCUGACCACUCCCAGGAAACCAUCUGCUAUGCAGAGGAGGAGGAUCGUCAACAAAAUAGAAGAAGAUCAUAGGAUGAUGCAAACCAUCUUUAAAGAGUGCUUAGAAGGAACAUCUGAGUGCAGUGCUGGACAUCAAAGAUUCACUCAGCCGAGAAGACAGAGCUGCUCUCUUGAAGGCAUUUCAUGACAAUUGCAGGGAAUCGGAAACAGAAGCAAACUUGCUCUUUGCAGAUAUAGAAGUUAAACCUAGAAAAUACGGACUCUGUGGGUGCCUCUGCUGUUAGCAAAGGUGGGUGUGUGUGUGAGUGUGCUUGUGUGUAACAUGUACCUGCACAGGUAGGCACCCUGCUUACAGGGAGAUGGAGCUGUAGUUUCACCUCCCCAGGGCCCUCAUUGCUCUGUACACUGGCU